rnacentral:rRNA from 1 species
AGAGUUUGAUCCUGGCUCAGGACGAACGCUGGCGGCACGCUUAACACAUGCAAGUCGAACGAGAGAAGAGGAGCUUGCUUUUCUGAUCUAGUGGCGGACGGGUGAGUAACACGUGAGCAAUCUGCCUUUCAGAGGGGGAUACCGAUUGGAAACGAUCGUUAAUACCGCAUAACAUAAUUGAACCGCAUGAUUUGAUUAUCAAAGAUUUAUCGCUGAAAGAUGAGCUCGCGUCUGAUUAGCUAGUUGGUAAGGUAACGGCUUACCAAGGCGACGAUCAGUAGCCGGACUGAGAGGUUAAUCGGCCACAUUGGGACUGAGACACGGCCCAGACUCCUACGGGAGGCAGCAGUGGGGAAUAUUGCACAAUGGAGGAAACUCUGAUGCAGCGAUGCCGCGUGAGGGAAGAAGGUUUUAGGAUUGUAAACCUCUGUCUUCAGGGACGAAAAAAGACGGUACCUGAGGAGGAAGCUCCGGCUAACUACGUGCCAGCAGCCGCGGUAAUACGUAGGGAGCGAGCGUUGUCCGGAACUACUGGGUGUAAAGGGAGCGUAGGCGGGAUCGCAAGUCAGAUGUGAAAACUAUGGGCUUAACCCAUAAACUGCAUUUGAAACUGUGGUUCUUGAGUGAAGUAGAGGUAAGCGGAAUUCCUAGUGUAGCGGUGAAAUGCGUAGAUAUUAGGAGGAACAUCAGUGGCGAAGGCGGCUUACUGGGCUUUAACUGACGCUGAGGCUCGAAAGCGUGGGGAGCAAACAGGAUUAGAUACCCUGGUAGUCCACGCCGUAAACGAUGAUUACUAGGUGUGGGGGGACUGACCCCUUCCGUGCCGCAGCAAACGCAAUAAGUAAUCCACCUGGGGAGUACGACCGCAAGGUUGAAACUCAAAGGAAUUGACGGGGGCCCGCACAAGCAGUGGAGUAUGUGGAUUAAUUCGAAGCAACGCGAAGAACCUUACCAGGUCUUGACAUCGUAUGCAUAGCUCAGAGAUGAGUGAAAUCUCUUCGGAGACAUAUAGACAGGUGGUGCAUGGUUGUCGUCAGCUCGUGUCGUGAGAUGUUGGGUUAAGUCCCGCAACGAGCGCAACCCUUACUGUUAGUUGCUACGCAAGAGCACUCUAGCAGGACUGCCGUUGACAAAACGGAGGAAGGUGGGGAUGACGUCAAAUCAUCAUGCCCCUUAUGACCUGGGCCUCACACGUACUACAAUGGCUGUCAACAGAGGGAAGCAAAGCCGCGAGGUGGGGCGAACCCCUAAAAGCAGUCUUAGUUCGGAUUGUAGGCUGCAACCCGCCUACAUGAAGUCGGAAUUGCUAGUAAUCGCAGAUCAGCAUGCUGCGGUGAAUACGUUCCCGGGCCUUGUACACACCGCCCGUCACGCCAUGGGAGUCGGUAACACCCGAAGCCUGUAGUCUAACCGCAAGGAGGACGCAGUCGAAGGUGGGAUUGAUGACUGGGGUGAAGUCGGAACAAGGUA